rnacentral:rRNA from 1 species
GACGAACGCUGGCGGCGUGCCUAAUACAUGCAAGUAGAACGCUGAAGGAGGAGCUUGCUUCUCCGGAUGAGUUGCGAACGGGUGAGUAACGCGUAGGUAACCUGCCUGGUAGCGGGGGAUAACUAUUGGAAACGAUAGCUAAUACCGCAUAAGAGUAGAUGUUGCAUGACAUUUGCUUAAAAGGUGCAAUUGCAUCACUACCAGAUGGACCUGCGUUGUAUUAGCUAGUUGGUGAGGUAACGGCUCACCAAGGCGACGAUACAUAGCCGACCUGAGAGGGGGAUCGGCCACACUGGGACUGAGACACGGCCCAGACUCCUACGGGAGGCAGCAGUAGGGAAUCUUCGGCAAUGGACGGAAGUCUGACCGAGCAACGCCGCGUGAGUGAAGAAGGUUUUCGGAUCGGAAAGCUCUGUUGUAAGAGAAGAACGAGUGUGAGAGUGGAAAGUUCACACUGUGACGGUAUCUUACCAGAAAGGGACGGCUAACUACGUG